rnacentral:misc_RNA from 1 species
GGCCUAAUGAUACAUUCUGUUACAUGCUUUGGGGUAUAUGAAAAACAUAGAACUUGAAUAAUUCAAGGAAAGCUGAUCAGAUCAGCAGUCCUCCCGACUGAGUUACCUCAGAAAAUACUAUCCAAGUCUACAAAGUGUGCACAGGUGGAAAGAUAAAGAUGACGGGCGUGCACAUGCCCCCUAGAGGGCCAGCGACAACCACAUCAAGUUCAUUCAAUAAUGAUCCUUCCGCAGGUUCACCUACGGAAACCUUGUUACGACUUUUACUUCCUCUAAAUGACCAAGA